rnacentral:rRNA from 1 species
ACUCCUACGGGAGGCAGCAGUGGGGAAUAUUGCACAAUGGGCGCAAGCCUGAUGCAGCCAUGCCGCGUGUGUGAAGAAGGCCUUCGGGUUGUAAAGCACUUUCAGUCGUGAGGAAGGUAGUGUAGUUAAUAGCUGCAUUAUUUGACGUUAGCGACAGAAGAAGCACCGGCUAACUCCGUGCCAGCAGCCGCGGUAAUACGGAGGGUGCGAGCGUUAAUCGGAAUUACUGGGCGUAAAGAGCUCGUAGGUGGUUUGUCGCGUUGUUCGUGAAAACCUGAGGCUUAACCUUGGGCGUGCGGGCGAUACGGGCAGACUGGAGUACUGCAGGGGAGACUGGAAUUCCUGGUGUAGCGGUGGAAUGCGCAGAUAUCAGGAGGAACACCGGUGGCGAAGGCGGGUCUCUGGGCAGUAACUGACGCUGAGGAGCGAAAGCGUGGGGAGCGAACAGGAUUAGAUACCCUGGUAGCGAGUAG